rnacentral:misc_RNA from 1 species
UCAAUCAAUGUAGAAGAACUGGGUCUGGUUCGUUCAUGGGAGCAUAUGAGAGUGAAGAAGAGAUUGUAUUCUCUGGAUUAAGUAACAGAAGACCAAGUGACUCUGGGUUCGAGCCCCUAAUUCUGCCGCCCCCAGGACCAUCUUCAGAAGAGGAGAAAAUUAAACGGAAAUUAAAAUUCUUCUUCAUGAACCCCAGAGAUAAAUUUAUCGCCACGCGUCAGAUUCCGUGGAAGUUACUGUUACAAAUAAUUAAGGUGGUGCUGGUUACAUUACAAUUAUGGAUAUUUGCUGAGUUCCGGUAUGCUCAUGUCAAUUACUAUUCAGAUCAAACUGUUGCACUCGAGCAUUUCUUUAUUAAGGAUUGGGAUCAAGUAAGAGAAGUGCAUGCCUACCCUCCAUCGACUGGAAAAAUGGCUUUCUACAAGAAAUCUGAGUUCUACGAUUUUCUGGAUAAUGCCAUCAUUGCGUACAGGAGUAUUGAGGAUGAAGCUGUUGGACCUUUCUUUAGAAAUUCAAGUAUUCAACUUUGCAUUCAGCAAUUCAAAACCGGAAGUAUAAAGAAGGAUCUCCAGGUUAAACUGGAUCGAGAAGAGAAAACUAUUUGCCUGGAACUCAAGGAAAAUGAACUGGAUGGAUUCAAAAAUAGCUCAACUUGGUUCCAUCAGAAUAAUUUCACAAUGCCAUGGCAUGCUUUGCAGAGUAUAGAGUUGGCAAUGAAUCUGACCAGUGUAACUCUGAAACCUCUUGGACCAGUUCCUACACCAGACUGCUUUAAGUUGAAGGUUGUGAUCAGAUUGGAUAACGCCGGUCAUGACGGGCAACUUCCGGUCAAACUUAGUAUGGUUCCGGUCAGAUUAGACUGCCCUUCAGAGGAAGAAAGUUCUUCGACCUACUCCUCCCUGGUUGUGAGUCUAAACCUUGUCGUUAUAUUUCUUUGCCUGAGUUCCCUCCUGCUCUGCCUGCGCGCGCUCCUACGGGCGCAGAUUCUCAAGCACGAGACAGAUGCGUUCUUCAGAAGGAAUUAUGAUUGGUCGCUGUCUGUCAAUGAAGGAUUAGAGUUCCUCAAUCUUUGGUAUGUGAUGAUCUGUACAAAUGACUGCCUGAUAGUGCUUGGAUCAAUAAUCAAACAGUUGAUCGAGUCUAAAUCUGUUAUAGGGGAUAUGUGGGAUAUUUGUAGUUUACUACUGGGUACUGGCAACCUUCUGGUUUGGUUUGGAUUACUUAGAUAUUUAGGAUUUUUUAAGACCUACAACGUGUUGAUAUUGACAAUGAAAGGGGCAGCUCCCAAUAUGCUGAGGUUCCUCAUUUGUGCUUCCUUCAUAUAUAUCGGGUUUGUAUUUGCUGGAUGGGUCAUCCUUGGUCCUUAUCAUUUCAAGUUCGAAUCCAUCAUGUCAACUUCAGAAUGCCUGUUUUCACUGAUCAAUGGAGAUGAUAUGUUUGCAACUUUCAUGUCAAUUCCUAGAGAAAGAUCUGUGUCUGUAUGGGUGUACAGCAGGGUAUACUUGUACACCUUCAUCUGUUUGUUUAUCUACGUUGUUCUCUCCCUGUUUAUCUCAAUCAUCAUGGAUACUUACGAGAUCAUUAAGAACUGUUACGAGAGAGGAUUCCCGGCCAAUAGAUUAGAACAGUUCUACUGUACUUCAGAAUUCGACUUCAAGAGCGGUCAAUAUCAGGGAGAAUCUGUUGUCACAAGAGUUUGGACUUUACUCAGGACGCAUAUUCCUUCACCUCGCUCACGUGCUUAUGAACAAAUCAGCUGAUUCCUCGUUUAGUUUGUGGAUGUUCGGCAUUAUCCACGGAACUUUGGCAUAAACAGCUGAUUACAAAAAUAAUCAGCUGAUUACAAAAAUAAUCAGCUGAUUUCUGUCUUUUAGCCAUCUGAUCAUGAGAUAAAAGCAUAAAUCUGCCAACCCAACAAUUCUGCAGAACUAAAUAUGCUAAAAAAAAGUGACCAAAACUAAUUCAAGAGCUUCCAAAUUAUUCCAUAUAUAUAUUAACUCAUUAUUGUGAAAUGGAACCUUUCUGUUUAUAAAAUACUCGGUAUAAAAUGUACAUAACCCAAUUUACUUGUAUGUAACAGUGUUAGAGAGUGUAUAUUGUACAUAACCCUUGGGCGUGUACGCUGUACACAUAGCGCUCGACAGUAAUUUAAAAUAUGUAAUUGUAAAUAUAAUUAUCAUUUGUGUUGA